AAACUACACGAUCAAGUUCUAAUCAGUUUGUCAAUCGGUCGAAACCAUCAACAAUCUAAGAUAAAUCAAAGACUGCCAGAAAUAAUCAUGAUAAUAUCAGACUUAAAUUCCAAUAUUAGACGACUUGGCUAUUUCUUUUUUCUAACGCACUGAUGUACAUAAUAAUAACUUUCUUUUUCUUACGAUUUAUUCAUUAAUUUCUAAAAAAAAAAAAAAUAAAAAAAAAAAUAAAUAAAAAAAUUGAUAAAUAUAAAGUUAAUAAUAAAAUGCUAUCUUUGAUGAUUCAUACGGAAUUAUAAAGUAUGCGAUCAUUGCAAAAAAGAGAAUACAACCCACUAUUGGAGAUUAUGUAAUUUUUCUGCAAUGUCCCUACCUGAAUUCAUAUCCUACAUGAAUUACAAAAGAAAGCAUUUCGUUGCUCUAAUAACUGCAUGACACACAAUGGGGCUGUAACUCAGAUUUUGUAUACACGAGGUCUUUAAUUUACAUUAAUUCAAUGAUGAUUUUCCUUUAACCCAUGAACCGGUCAGGUCCAAAUACAUGCAUAAACUGUAUUAAAGGAUGAGGCAUCAAAGGUACUUGAUGACAAUAUAAUUGCAUUGACACAAUUUCGUGCAUUUACAGUAUCACUAAAACUAUGUAAUAUUUAGCAGAGAUGUGGUAGUUAAAAAUAACGUAUUUAUAACUGAGCGUACUAAUCACAAUUUUCAAGUAAUUGGAAGAAAUUUAUAAUUAAGUCUGCCUUUGAUUUAUUGAAAUCAUCGUAUAUUACUUGUUUAUGUUUUAGUAGUUACUGUAGAUGACUGUCUUAUUUCUUCAGCACAUGUAUAACAUUAUCUUUUAUCUUUU
rnacentral:sRNA from 1 species